GGUUCGAUGGCGUAGUUGGUUAUCGCAUCUGUCUAACAUACUCUGAUGCUAGGAUACAUUACACAGAAGGUCCCCAGUUCGAGCCUGGGUCGAAUCA